UACACUCUUAUUUACACUUUUGUCUCUAAGAUCAAACUCACAAAUCAAAUCAAUCUCUUUCUUUAUCUUUUUCUAAACUUCAUGUACACACUUUUACUUUUAUGUUGUUUCAGGAACUAGAUCUUGAUUACCAUGAAGAAUUUUAGGUUGAAGUUUGAAGAUUAAAGAGAAUAUAUCUAAAGGAUCGGAUGUGCUUUGUAGUUUAUAGAUCUGAUUUUGGAUCAGGCUAAAGAUGAAUGAAAAAGUAGCUAUCCAUGUGGGUUCUAUGGAAUUAGUAAAAAGGAGCAACAAUUCAUGCCCUCAACUCUCUGAUCUCAGUAACAAUUCACGCCCAAGUUCGAUCUGAAUCCCAUAAAAGUGGUAAGUGCUUCCAAACUCCAAAGGAAGAAGAGAAUAUGAGAACGUCAUCAUGGUUGACAAAGGUGGAAGGGAAGAAAGCUUUCAAUUAAAGGAAACGAAUGUCGAGAUAUUGCAAGAAAGGGACUACGCAAAUCUCUAAGGUGUGUAAUAUACCUGAUGAUGCUUUAUAAUUAUUUAAUUUGCUACGUUAUGGUUAUAUGUUAUUCCAGGAUGCAAGUUUACUGCGUUUCUUAGUUGACAUGAGGGGAGUUGAUGUUGAUGAACGUCAUCUAAGAGAUGACCUAAUGACUAUGCAUAUUGUCGGGCAUGAAACAACUGCGGUUCUUACUUGGGCUGUUUUGAUUCAUCAAAGAAGUCCUGGAGCUUUAUACCCAAAUGAGGUUUGACUUUUUUAGCUAAUGGAAAGGAUUUAUCCUUUUGGUAAUAAAAAGAUAUAUUGCAAUGGUGCAUGGUGGACUAUCUUGGCAAAGAUGUCAAGAACAAGUGAGAGAACAAUUCAUGGGGAAGGAAGCUUAUCGUGCAAAAGAAGAGGGCAUCUCUGAAUGACUUUGAUAGGUUCAAGAUCAUGGUGGCAAAAAUCAAGAACUGGAAUUGAUCUAGGGAAAUGGCAAUGGAUACAUGGAAGUUGGAACUAAUUAAAAUGGGUGCAUCUGGAGCUCCUGUAUGGUGUAAUCUUCUAUGACUUGGUGCAAGGUGUAAUUAUAUUGGUUAGAAUUAGUAUGAUGAAGUAUUAUAGAAUGUAGGAUUGAUGUAUAUGGAUUUUGUGAACUUUUAUCAGCUUAAUGGUUCCAGAGGUGAAUGAUUUUUAUGUUUUGUUUA